CCUACGGGUGGCAGCAGUGAGGAAUAUUGGUCAAUGGACGAGAGUCUGAACCAGCCAAGUAGCGUGAAGGAUGACUGCCCUAUGGGUUGUAAACUUCUUUUAUAUGGGAAUAAAAUGUUCCACGUGUGGGAUUUUGUAUGUACCAUAUGAAUAAGGAUCGGCUAACUCCGUGCCAGCAGCCGCGGUAAUACGGAGGAUCCGAGCGUUAUCCGGAUUUAUUGGGUUUAAAGGGAGCGUAGGUGGAUUGUUAAGUCAGUUGUGAAAGUUUGCGGCUCAACCGUAAAAUUGCAGUUGAAACUGGCAGUCUUGAGUACAGUAGAGGUGGGCGGAAUUAGUGGUGUAGCGGUGAAAUGCUUAGAUAUCACGAAGAACUCCGAUUGCGAAGGCAGUUCACUGGACUGCAACUGACACUGAGGCUCGAAAGUGUGGGUAUCAAACAGGAUUAGAUACCCGAGUAGUC
rnacentral:rRNA from 1 species